AUGGUAUAUGUGUCUCCCGUAUAUGUGUCUCCCUCAUGAUCUGCACCAGCAGCUCCAUGGUCCUCGUCCUGCAUAGAUACAAGCAGAGAGUCCAACAUGUUCGCAGCCGCAACCUCUCCCGCAGAACAUCUCAUGAAACCACAACCACACACACCAUCCUCAUCCUGGCACCAUGGUCUCAUCCAUCUGCACAGCUGCAGCCAGUGGGAGGAGACGCCGUGAGCCCUGCCCUCAUGGUUCUGCUCUGCCUCGGGUUAGAAAGCCAAGAGGGGCAGCUGCAGGUACAUGUAAUCAUAUCCAUCAGUGCUGGGGUCUGAGGUUCGUGAGACGAAGCCACAAUAUUAUGAGAAAGCAAAGAUGUGUAAAAACCCCACUGUUUAGAAUCUCCUCUCUCUCACAUGUCACACGAAGCGUUUCAGAUUUUCUACUAAAAACCAUGCAGCUUUACAAGACUCCCAGGCCCCUACCCUAUCCUGCGGGAUGAGUGAUGAAAUGUGUACAUUUAGUCUAAUUUAAAAAAUUCUUCAACUACUUUAAUUAUUCUUAAGUGAAGUAUUUGAUUCAUGUAUAUUUCUUUUGUUUGUUUGUUUGUUUUUGUUUUUGAGAUGGAGUCUUGCUCUGUCGCCCAGCCUGGAGUGCAGUGGCGCGAUCUCGGCUCACUGCAAGCUCCACCUCCUGGGUUCACGCCAUUGUCCUGCCUCAGCCUCCCGAGUAGCUGGGACUACAGGCACCCACCACCAUGCCGGGCUAAUUUUUUUGUAUUUUUAGUAGAGAUGGGGUUUCACUGUGUUAGCCAGGAUGGUCUCGAUCUCCUGACCUCGUGAUCCACCCACCUAGGCCUCCCAAAGUGCUGGGAUUACAGGCGUGAGCCACCAUGCCCAGCCUGAUUCAUUUAUAUUUCUAAGUAAGAUAUACACAUGAGAAAGCUUUUAGUUUGAGUAUAUUCAUUUAAUUUCAUUUUAGCUUGCUAUAACAUUUUUCCCUUUCAAUUAUCUUUCAACUGAUCUCCCCAAAUUUACUGAUAAAAUUUAUAUUAACUAUAAGAAAAUUGAAAUUUUAUUUUUUAUUUCUAAACCGCAUAUCAAUUUUUGUCACUUCAAGUAUUAAUAUGCAUGUAACUGCAUCUUAAAUAAAUAUCUAAAGUUUUACAUA
rnacentral:misc_RNA from 1 species